GAUGAACGCUGGCGGCGUGCCUAACACAUGCAAGUCGAACGAAGCACCUUACCUGAUUCUUCGGAUGAGAGUUUGGUGACUGAGUGGCGGACGGGUGAGUAACGCGUGGGUAACCUGCACUGUACAGGGGGAUAACAGCUAGAAACGGCUGCUAGUACCGCAUAAGCGCACGAGGAGAGAUCUCCUGGUGUGAAAAAGUCCGGUGGUACAGGAUGGGCCCGCGUGUGAUUAGCAGGUUGGCAGGGUAACGGCCUAUCAAGGCUACGAUAAGUACCCGGUCAGAGAGGAUGAGCGCCCACACUGGAACUGAGACACGGUGCAAACUCCUACGGGAGGCAGCAGUGGGGAAUAUUGCACAAUCGGGGAAAUCCUGAAGCAGUAACGCCGCGUGAGUGAAGAAGUAUGUCGGUAUGUAAAGCUCUAUCAGAAGGGAAGAUAAUGACGGUACCUGAAGAAGAAGCUCCGGCUAAAUACGUG
rnacentral:rRNA from 1 species